AUGGAGGACCAAGCAAGUGUCCUGGAAGAUAUACUGAAUGGAGCUGAGGAACCAAAGGAUCUGCCGUUAACACUGUUAGAGCAUAUCACGGGUAAUUUCUCUGAAGACAGAAAAAUUGGUCAGGGUGGAUUUGGAGAGGUCUACCAGGGUGAACUACGAAAGGGGGUUGUUGUCGCUGUGAAGAGGAUGUAUGUGAACGAACACACUGUUAAUGACGUGGCAUUUCGUCGGGAGGUUAAAAGUCUGAUGAAGAUCAAUCAUCAAAAUGUUGUCCGGUUUCUUGGCUUCUGCUCUAGUGCACGUCAGAUUUACAAAAAAGUGGACGGGUCAACAGAUCCUAACUUCAUCAACGUAAGAGAAAGAUUGCUCUGUUUGGAGUACAUCAACAAUGGUAGUCUUGAUAAGCAUAUUAAUGAUGAAUUAAGGGGACUUGAAUGGGAAACACGUUAUGACAUAAUCACCGGAAUUUGCAAGGGUCUGACUCAUCUCAAUGAAAAUAAUAUUAUUCAUAUGGACCUUAAACCGGCAAACAUAUUACUCGAUGAUCAUAUGAUUCCAAAGAUCACUGAUUUUGGUUUGUCAAGACCAGAUGAAAACUCACAUACUACGGGUCAACGUUUUGGAACACGAGGAUAUUUUGCUCCAGAAUACGAGAAGUUUGGCAAAACUUCAUUUGAGUGUGACAUAUAUAGUUUGGGUAUCAUAAUCAUAGAAUUGGUAACAGGGCGUAAGGGCACUGCUGAAAAGGAGAAAGUACUUCGAAGGUGGAGACACAGGUGGAAUAAGCCACCAACAUUGCCGCAAUACCACCAAGUAACUAGAUGCCUUGACGUAGCAGUACGCUGUAUGGAAGAAGAACCAGGACAUAGACCUUCUAUAUCGGAAAUAAUCAGAAUUCUGAGUGAAACUGCAAGGACGGAUGGGCACAUUGGCCAGGAAAGCACUUAUUUGGAUGAUGACAUGCUUCGUAUUGAGCCACUCGAGCUUAAGCAUAACCAGGAGAUGUCAUGGUCAGUGAAGAUAACCAACAAGACAAACGCAUGUUUUGCCUUCAACAUUAAAGGACCAAGCAAGCAGUACAACAUAUAUCCAGACAAAGGCAUUGUGACAGCAGGAUGCAAUGGGUGUUUUGUUAAAAUAACAGUGAGGGCAUCACAAGUUACACAGAAUGGGGACAGGUUCAUCGUACGGAGCACAAAAGUGAGUCAGGGUCUUACACCUGAGGAUAUCACUGAACAUGUAUUCCAUGAAGAGCCUCCCAGUAAAGUGGUCGAUGAGGUGGAUUUGAUCAUUUUAAAUGAGACUACGGACUUUCUAGAAAAUAUCAGGAGUAGAGAAGACACAAACAUGUCAGCUGAGGAAGUCCAUGAGGCAAAAAGGUGGAAAAUUGCUGAGUCUGUUUCUAGGAAGGGCAAAAUGAAAGUUUGUUGCAGCGAAAAUGAAGAGGCAACUUCCAAUGACAUCAAUUCAAGUGCGCGAGGACAAUCUACCAAGCAAAAAGAGCAGUUUAAUUUGCACCCACUACAAAGCUUUUCACGCAAUUAUCCUACCAACUUGAGAUACCUCGAGAAUUCAAACAACCGAGCCGUGGAUCUCCGAACGGGGGCUAUGGGAAGUCUGCUCGACAAGAUGGGCAAGCUCCUUGGGGAGGACAACAGUCUAGAGGAUAACAUCAAGAAGGAUAUCAAGUCUUUUUCAGAAAAGCUGAGGAAGAUGGACCAAACCCUCCGCAAGUUGGGAAAGCUUGAUGGUGUCAAGAUUUGGGUUGACCUAGUGAGGGCAUUAUCAUACAAUAUAGAGGAUAUGGUGGAUGGCUUCCUCGUGCACGUCGAGCCUCUCCCUAGCAGUGGCUUCAGGGAGCUCAAGAAUGAGGGGCUAAAGCUUUGGAAGAAUGGCAUGAUCGCCCACCAUAAGAUUGGUGAUGUGAUCAGAGACAUCAAGAACCAAGUCCAGGAGGUUGCCAACAUGCAGGAGAAUUAUAAUUUUGAUGUCAGUAAUAUUGUAGCAAAUGCCACUACGAAAGCUGUCAUUAACAUUCGAAUUUCAGCUAGAUAUGUUGACGAAGGACAACUCAUUAGGAUCGAAGCACGAAGAGGUGAGCUAAUAAGUCUGUUUGAUAAGGACGGUGAUGUACCCAAUGAAAACCUCAAGAUAGUCUCUAUCGUCGGAAUGGGAGGAUUGGGCAAAACUACUCUUGCAAAUGCAGUGUAUAAGAAGAUUGAAGCAGAGUACCGCUAUAGAGCUUUUGUUUCUGUUGGCCAGAAUCCUGAUGUUGAGAAAGUUUUGAAGAACAUUCUUUCUAAACUAGUAAUGGAUUUCAAUGCAGCAAACUUGGAUGAGUGGCAGGUCAUUGAUAAACUCCAAGAUUUGCUCAACAACGAGAGAUACCUCAUAGUAAUUGAUGAUGUAUGGGAUUCAUCUUCAUGGAAUAUUAUUAAAUCUGCUCUUCCAAGAAACUGUUAUGGCAGUAGAGUGAUAACAACAACAAGGAUUGAACAUGUUGCUCUUGCUUGUUGCAAUUUUGACAUAAAAUAUGUUUAUAAGAUCAAGGAACUCAGUGUCGAAGACUCAAAAAGUCUAUUAUUUAGCAGAAUAUUUGGAACUGACAAAGGUUGGCCUCUUACACCCAAAAUAGAAGAGAUUUCCAUUAGUAUUCUGAAGACAUGUGGUGGUAUGCCACUUGCUAUUAAUAGUAUAGCAAGCCUUAUAGCUUGCGAUAAGUCAGAGCCUAACUGGGAAUAUGUAUGGAAAUCCUUGCAUGGUAUGGUUGAAGGAAAUACUGGUCUUGGAAAUCUCGAGCACAUAUUGGAUCUUAGCUACAUACAUCUUCCUGAUCCUCUCAAGGCAUGUCUGCUUUAUGUGAGCAAGUAUCAAGAGGAUCAUGAGAUAGAUAAAAAUGAUUUGUUGAGGCAAUGGGUGGCUGAAGGUUUCGUGCCUGUGAAUAAUAACAGUGUGUUGGAUGCAGAGGACAUUGCAGAAGACUACUUCAAAAAGCUCAUCAGCAUGUGUUUGAUCCAGCCGGUUAACACAGACUACAACAAUGAAGUGUUGUCUUGUAAAGUACAUGAUAUAGUCCUUGACCUGAUGAGAUCCAAGUCAACUGAAAUGAAUUUUAUUCAUGCAAUUGAUCAUUUGAAAGAUGUGACAGGGGAGAUCCGUAGAGUCUCAGUCUCAGUCUCAUCACGUAACAGAGAUGAUGAUACAAAAAUUAUGGAAUUAAUAAAUAAAAAGUCACUGUCACAUGUCCGGUCAGUCUUGCUUUACCAACACUCAGCUGAGAGCGUGUCACUUUUGCCCGGUUUUCUGGAGUUGAAGUAUCUCCGAGUUGUAGAGCUUGAAGACUUCAGUUAUGUAAACAAGGAUCUAAACCUCACCAGUAUUAGUGGGUUGCUUCUCCUAAGGUACUUAAAGGUUGUUUCCCAUCGUUUUAAACAUUUGAAGUUACCUAAUCAAAUAGGGGAGCUGCAACAAUUGGAGACAAUAGAACUUAGGGGCUUUUCCCUGAAAACUUAUCCAUCAGAUAUUAUUAGUCUUCCCUGGUUAUCGCAUCUCGAAUAUAGAAAUGUUGGUUCUUGUGUAGUCUUGCCUGAGGGGAUCGACAGGCUGAAAUCCCUGCGCACCCUGGUAGGUGUAGAUGUGUAUACAAGCUCAGUAAAAAAUAUCUAUGGCCUCAGCAAGCUGACCAAGUUGAGAAAACUUGACAUUGGUUUAAGCACGAAUAUUGAAGAUAACGAAGCGAACAAUACGCGUACAGCUGCCUUGCACUCUUCUAUCUCCAAGCUUUCCGCCAGCCUCAGGAUCUUUACUUUGGCAAAUGAAAAUUGGAAAAUAGAAGAUGUCCGGGGCUGGAGCAGCACACCAUUAUUCCCUGCAGGUUCUCAUAUUCGGGAGCUUGAUCUGCGGUCCUGCAAUUUUGAAACUUGCCCGGAGUGGAUUGGUCAGCUCUACGGCCUCACCAGCUUAAGAAUUAGUGUGCGGGAGGUUGCUGACGGUGUCAGUAUUGUUGCAAGUUUGCCUUCACUUGUCGUCUUCCAUUUGGAUUGUGCUCUUAUAGCUGGGGAAACGGAAGAACGUGUUGUCAUCUCUGGCAAUGACUGGGCAUUCAAAGCACUCAAGCACCUGAGAUUCCAUUGUGCAUUGGCUCCAGUCACCUUUGAAGCAGGGGCUAUGCCCUUGCUAGAGAAGCUUCAAAUGUUGUUCCGUUCUGACAUGACUCCCCAAUUCUUACCGUCUGGCAUCAAGCACUUGCCAUCUGGUACCCUCAAACAAAUUAAUUUAGAAGUAACUUCUUUAGGGAGGAUUGGAGACCUAAAAAAUUGGGAAACUCGGAUGGAUUCUUAUGAGGCCAAAUGGGAAAAAGAAAUAAGAAAGUUGAGGCCCAUGUUGAAGAGAGAAUUCGAGAAGCACCAUGGUGGGGCCUACAUUGUCUUUGACAAUGAAGAAGAAUAUGAAAAACAUGAUGAAGUAGAAGAUGAGGGUGUUAAUGAUGAAGAAGAUUAUGAGGAAGAUGAUGAUGAAACAGAUGAGGACGAUGUUGACGAAGAAGAAGAUGAGGCAACUUAUCAAGAGAAUGGAUCUCAAACUCCAUUGUAA
rnacentral:rRNA from 1 species